GACUGAAAAUGCAAUGUGUUUUCCUGAGCGAAGUAAAGGUUCUGCUGCUUCUAUUGCUGUCGUACUAUUUACAUCCCAAGGAAAAAAAUCAUU